CGAGUGGCGAACGGGUGAGUAAUACAUCGGAACGUGCCCGAGAGUGGGGGAUAACGAAGCGAAAGCUUUGCUAAUACCGCAUACGAUCUCAGGAUGAAAGCAGGGGACCGCAAGGCCUUGCGCUCACGGAGCGGCCGAUGGCAGAUUAGGUAGUUGGUGGGAUAAAAGCUUACCAAGCCGACGAUCUGUAGCUGGUCUGAGAGGACGACCAGCCACACUGGGACUGAGACACGGCCCAGACUCCUACGGGAGGCAGCAGUGGGGAAUUUUGGACAAUGGGCGCAAGCCUGAUCCAGCCAUGCCGCGUGCAGGAUGAAGGCCUUCGGGUUGUAAACUGCUUUUGUACGGAACGAAAAGACUCUGGUUAAUACCUGGGGUCCAUGACGGUACCGUAAGAAUAAGCACCGGCUAACUACGUGCCAGCAGCCGCGGUAAUA
rnacentral:rRNA from 1 species